rnacentral:rRNA from 1 species
GUCGAGAAUCUUUCACAAUGGGGGCAACCCUGAUGGAGCGACGCCGCGUGGAGGAUAAGGUCUUCGGAUUGUAAACUCCUGUCAUGCGUGAACAAGGUUGCUUGGAUAAUACCUGAGCAAAAUGAUGGUAGCGCAAGAGGAAGAGACGGCUAACUCUGUGCCAGCAGCCGCGGUAAUACAGAGGUCUCAAGCGUUGUUCGGAAUCACUGGGCGUAAAGGGUGCGAAGGUGGCGUGGCAAGUCAGAUGUGAAAGCCCGGGGCUCAACCGCGGAACUGCAUCCGAUACUGCAAUGCUAGAGUACUGGAGGGGUGACUAGAAUUCUCGGUGUAGCAGUGAAAUGCGUAGAUAUCGAGAGGAAUACCAAAGGCGUAGGCAGGUCACUGGACAGUUACUGACACUGAGGCACGAAGGCCAGGGGAGCGAACGGGAUUAGAAACCCCGGUAGUCC